CUAUAUACACCAAUUUCAUUCUCGUUCAUACCAAUGACAAACUUCACUCCACUGACCAGUCCUCCCGUACCAUGAUUCAGAAUCAGACUAAGUAGAUCAUAUGUGAUGCAAACAGGAAAGUAAGUCGAUAUUUUCCCACAAACCCAACAUAUACGGUGUUCACUUUGUAUAUCUUGAUAGUGCAUGUGGAGAUCAACACUACAAUUUAACUGUAGUUGACAGUGGUAUAUCCAAGCGGCGGAGGUUUUCAGAGGGUUGACACGAUUUUGUUGUUGAUGCGGGAUUGGUUGAGGGAGAGGUAUUAAAAUUUGUAAUUUGUCGUACUGAUGAGGCCAUAGUAAACAUCGUUGUUUGUAAAGAAAUCCAUGAGUACCUUCUUGUGGAUUUAAUCAAUGACAUAAAACUGAUAUAUAUUUAUCAUUAAAAUAUUAUUGUA